rnacentral:rRNA from 1 species
AAACCAUUCUUCCACCUGAGUCCAGGCGAUAAAAAAGGAAAUCCGGAGCAAUAGAAAAAGUACCGCAAGGGAAAGCUGAAAAAGAGAUGAAAUAGCCCAGUAAAGCUUAAUAAAGCAGAGAUUAGAACUCGUACCUUUUGCAUCAUGAUUUAGCUAGCACUUUCAAGCAAAGAGAACUUAAAGUUUGUAACCCCGAAACUGAGUGAGCUACUCCAAGACAGCCUAUUUAUAGGGCAAACCCGUCUCUGUGGCAAAAGAGUGGGAAGAGCUUUGAGUAGAGGUGACAGACCUACCGAACUCAGUUAUAGCUGGUUGCCCGUGAAUUGGAUAGAAGUUCAGCCCUCUGGGUUCCCCACUCAUGCACUGUUAUUACCCAUCAGAUGCAACGAGAAACUAGAGGUGUUAGUCAAAGGGGGUACAGCCCCUUUGAAACAAGACACAACUUUUACAGCAGGAUAAAGAUCAUACUCAAACAAGGACAAAUGUUUUAGUGGGCCUAAAAGCAGCCACCUUAACAGAAAGCGUUAAAGCUCAGACAUAGACACCUCCAUAUAUACCGAUAACCUUAUCUUAAUCCCCUAAAUUUAACGAGCCCCCCUAUGCCAAACAUAGGGAUGACCAUGCUAAUAUGAGUAAUAAGAGAAUACUAAGUACUCUCUCCUCGCACAUGUGUAAAUCGGAACGGACCCCCCACCGACUCUUAACGGCCCCAAUCAAAGAGGGAACUGGAAAAUGUCAUCGAUUGACUAGGAAAACAUCCAAUACAACCCCGUUAACCCCACACUGGUGUGCCCCAGAGGAAAGACCAAAGGGGGGAGAAGGAACUCGGCAAACAUACCCCAAGCCUCGCCUGUUUACCAAAAACAUCGCCUCUUGCAAGACACAAGUAUAAGAGGUCCCGCCUGCCCAGUGACAUCAUAGUUCAACGGCCGCGGUAUUUUGACCGUGCAAAGGUAGCGUAAUCACUUGUCUUUUAAAUGAAGACCCGUAUGAAUGGCAUAACGAGGGCUUAGCUGUCUCCUUCCCCCAGUCAAUGAAAUUGAUCUCCCCGUGCAGAAGCGGGGAUAAGCUCAUAAGACGAGAAGACCCUAUGGAGCUUUAGACGCAAGGGCAGAUCAUGUCAAAUACACCCAGCUAAGGGCCCUGAACUAAAUGAAACCAGCCCUGAUGUCUUCGGUUGGGGCGACCAUGGGGAACACAAAACCCCCACGUGGAAAAGGAGUACACCCCUACAUUCCUCUCCUCCUACAAGCUAGAGCGACAGCUCUAAUCAGCAGAAAUUCUGACCAAACUGAUCCGGCAACGCCGAUCAACGAACCAAGUUACCCUAGGGAUAACAGCGCAAU